CAGCCGCCGCGGUAAUACCGGCGGCCCGAGCGGCGGUCACUAUUAUUGGGCUUAAAGCGUCCGUAGCCGGGUUGGGAAGUCCUCCGGGAAAUCUGGCCGCUUAACGGUCAGAAUGCCGGAGGAUACUCCCAGCCUAGGGAGCGGGAGAGGCCGAGGGUAUUCCCGGAGUAGGGGUGAAAUCCUAUAAUCCCGGGAGGACCACCUGUGGCGAAGGCGCUCGGCUGGAACGCGUCCGACGGUGAGGGACGAAGGCCAGGGGAGCAAACCGGAUUAGAUACCCGGGUAGUCCUGGCUGUAAACGAUGCGGACUUUGUGUCGGACAAGCUAUGAGCUUGUCCGGUGCCGGAGGGAAACCGUUAAGUCCGCCGCCUGGGGAGUACGGCCGCAAGGCUGAAACUUAAAGGAAUUGGCGGG
rnacentral:rRNA from 1 species